UACGGGAGGCAGCAGUGGGGAAUAUUGCACAAUGGGCGCAAGCCUGAUGCAGCCAUGCCGCGUGUAUGAAGAAGGCCUUCGGGUUGUAAAGUACUUUCAGUCGUGAGGAAGGUGUUAAGGUUAAUAACCUUAGCAAUUGACGUUAGCGACAGAAGAAGCACCGGCUAACUCCGUGCCAGCAGCCGCGGUAAUACGGAGGGUGCGAGCGUUAAUCGGAAUUACUGGGCGUAAAGGGCACGCAGGCGGUUAAUUAAGUUGGAUGUGAAAUCCCCGGGCUUAACCUGGGAAUGGCAUUCAAGACUGGUUAGCUAGAGUCUUGUAGAGGGGGUUAGAAUUCCAUGUGUAGCGGUGAAAUGCGUAGAGAUGUGGAGGAAUACCGGUGGCGAAGGCGGCCCCUGGACAAAGACUGGCGCUCAUGUGCGAAAGCGUGGGGAGCAAAC
rnacentral:rRNA from 1 species